UUGAACGCUGGCGGCAUGCCUUACACAUGCAAGUCGAACGGUAGAGGGGCAACCCUUGAGAGUGGCGAACGGGUGAGUAAUAUAUCGGAACGUGCCCAGUCGUGGGGGAUAACGCAGCGAAAGCUGCGCUAAUACCGCAUACGAUCUAUGGAUGAAAGCGGGGGAUCGCAAGACCUCGCGCGAUUGGAGCGGCCGAUAUCAGAUUAGGUAGUUGGUGGGGUAAAAGGCCCA
rnacentral:rRNA from 1 species